GGUCAGGUGGUGUAGUUGGUAACACCCUUGCUAAAUAUGCAGAAGCCCUGUUCAAUUCCCAGUCUGGCCA